CUAAGGACUUGUAUGAAUGGCCACACGAGGGUUUUACUGUCUCUUACUUCCAAUCAGUGAAAUUGACCUUCCCGUGAAGAGGCGGGAAUAAAAAAAUAAGACGAGAAGACCCUAUGGAGCUUUAAUUAACUAUUCCAAAAGUUAAACAAUUCAACCACAAAGGGAUAAAACAUAACUUAACAUGGACUAGCAAUUUCGGUUGGGGUGACCUCGGAGUACAAAAAACCCUCCGAGUGAUUUUAAUCUAGACAAACCAGUCAAAAUAACCAUAACAUCACUUAUUGAUCCAAAACUUUGAUCAACGGAACAAGUUACCCUAGGGAUAACAGCGCAAUCCUAUUCUAGAGUUCCUAUCGACAAUAGGGUUUACGACCUCGAUGUUGGAUCAGGACACCCAAAUGGUGCAACCGCUAUUAAAGGUUCGUUUGUUCAACGAUUAAAGUCCUACGUGAUCUGAGUUCAAAAC
rnacentral:rRNA from 1 species